rnacentral:pre_miRNA from 1 species
GAGGAGGGUCCGGGGCUGCGCGUGGUUGAAGGGAUGAAGAAAGGCAUCAUAUAGGAGCUGGAUAACUGUGCAUCAACUCCUGUAUGAAGCCGUUCCCACCCCCCAACUACUGACUACGGUCGCAACCCUCCUC